AAGCCAUUUCUGUUCGUAAUGAGGGAGAAAUGCAUUAGCUAAAGUUGGACCUAGUGGGGAGCCCAUCGCAACGCCAUCUAUUUGUUCAUACAAGCUGUUAUUGAACAAGAAAUGUGAAUUCUUAGUGAUACAAGAAAAGCUUCAAGAGGAACGAGACGAUGCAUGUCGUAUUCGCUCUCAGUUGGAGAGAGAGAAUCAGCGAAAGGCACAACUUACUGUGGAUCUUUCUCAGCAGGUUCGAGUCCUUCUUAAAGAAGUUGAGGAGGCACGAGGGGGUUAUGUGGCAACAACUAGAAGUGACCAAGAUGAAGAGGUAACCUCAACUGACCAGUCAGCUUCCAGUUCUAUCAUUACAAAACAACUCGUUUCGUUUAGGGACAUUGAAGAGCUCCAAAUGAAAAACGAACAGUUAUUGGCAGUGGUACGAGAACUGAGUGAGAAACAGGAAGAAGUUGAAAAGCUGGCUACUCAGGAGAAGUAAGAAUGGAUAGUUUUAAGUAUCGGCUGCAA